GCAGACGCCUCCGCGCCAGGCUCUGCCAGCUGCAGGCUUGUGGCAAACGGCCGCUGAGGGGCGGCUGGACAGCCGGCGGGCCGGGAUGGGGUUGGUUCGGUCGAGUCUUUUAGCCUAGUAGUGUGGCCUUGAGAGCUCAGAAGGGAUAGUGCUUGGUGUAGGGGGAAACUAGUCAGGUUAACCUGCAGGGAUUUUCCCGGGUUCAGGAGGUAGCUACCUCUAUAGAUGUCGCCACAUGAGAGUCUGAGAGUCGUUCGAAGUUCUUUGGAUAGGUUUAUGCGUCAUGCGCGUGUUGCCCCGCUGAGGGCAAUGGUGGGCAGCACGAGGGGGGUAUAGUGGCCGUGGGCCUGGGGUUGUGUUUUUCUGCAGUGUAAGGACCCUUAGCAACUUGUUUCUGCCUUCCCAUAUCAACCAUCCAGGAGAACAGAAAUGAAGAGGCCACGCGUACGUUGGUAAUUUCAUUUAUCCCAGAAUCCCAGCCCAAAAUAACCGUCAUAGCUUAGAUUUGAAUUCAGGUUCGAACCUGAGUGGAAUCCGGAAGAGUUCAUUCUCUAUGGUAUCACUUCAGUAAAAAUAACUACAGCGGUUGAGGCAAGCCUGGCCACGUUAAGACAGCUAUACACCUGACAAGAACCCAUUCACGAAAUCCUGCAGCUGACUAGCAUCUUAAGCUAUGAAUACGAACGACAAGUAAGGGAGCCUAAGGCUCUAUGUAUCCGAAGGAUGAUGUAGCUAUUGUUUGGAAGCGGCCACCU
rnacentral:lncRNA from 1 species